rnacentral:rRNA from 1 species
AGCGAACGCUGGCGGCAGGCUUAAAACAUGCAAGUCGAACGCCCCGCAAGGGGAGUGGCAGACGGGUGAGUAACACGUGGGAACGUACCCUUUGGUUCGGAUUAACUUGGGGAAACUCAAGCUAAUACCGGAUAAGCCCUUAUGGGGAAAGGUUUACUGCCGAAGGUUCGGCACGCAUCUGGUUAGCUAGUUGGUGAGGUAAUGGCUCACCAAGGCGACGAUCAGUAGCUGGUCUGAGAGGAUGAUCAGCCACACUGGGACUGAGACACGGCCCUGACUCCUACGGGAGGGAGCAGUGGGGAAUAUUGGACAAUGGGGGCAACCUUGAUGCAGCUAUGCCGGGUGAGUGAUGAAGGCCUUAGGGUUGUAAGGCUCUUUUAACCGGGACGAUAAUGACUGUACCGGGAGAAUAAGCCCCGGCUAACUUCGUGCCAGCAGCCGCAGUAA